UAAGACCUUGCGCUUUUGGAGUGGCCGAUGCCUGAUUAGCUAGUUGGUAGGGUAAAGGCCUACCAAGGCGACGAUCAGUAGUUGGUCUGAGAGGACGACCAGCCACACUGGGACUGAGACACGGCCCAGACUCCUACGGGAGGCAGCAGUGGGGAAUUUUGGACAAUGGGCGCAAGCCUGAUCCAGCAAUGCCGCGUGAGUGAAGAAGGCCUUCGGGUUGUAAAGCUCUUUCAGUCGAGAAGAAAAAGUUGAGGUGAAUAAUCGCAAUUUAUGACGGUAUCGACAGAAGAAGCACCGGCUAACUACGUGCCAGCAGCCGCGGUAAUACGUAGGGUGCAAGCGUUAAUCGGAAUUACUGGGCGUAAAGGGUGCGCAGGCGGCUUUGUAAGUCAGAUGUGAAAUCCCCGGGCUUAACCUGGGAAUU
rnacentral:rRNA from 1 species